CUAUAGUGGCGCGUCGUGCCUAAAAGGUUAAGACCUGGGCGAGAGCGUUGGGGACGAAACACCACAGGACAUCCGCCUACCACCCACAGGCUAACGAAGCUAUCGAGCAGUUACAUCGGCAACUGAAGGCGGCGAUCAUGUACCACUAGAAGGACAGCUGAUCCGAAACUCUCCCGGCAGUCCUGCUCGUCAAUAUUAUUUCUUUCAACAAUUGCAAGAGGCGAAGACAUUGAACGCGCAUGAUGACUUCUGCCGAGCGAGCCGGGGACCGAUUACUAAGGUGUCGCUUUCUAGUAGUCUAUUUUUACCAAAGACGACUGAAGGCAAUCGGGAAGUUGUUGAAAUUUUAUACGUAUUUAAAGGAAAAUGAUAAAAAUCUUUUAAAAUUCAAUCUAUCGGGCGAUGAUGAGAAUGAAGAUACGAAUAAAAUACAUACACCUAAUACUGAUCUAGAAGUACAAUAAUAAAAAAUAAAAAUAAAAUAAAAUAAUUAAAAGUUAUUAACUUUCAUAUAAUUAAACAACCUCCUGUGUUACACAGGCAUCUUUAUUUAAUAAUACCGGCCCUUUUCAGGGCCUCAAAUUUAUUCUAGCUCUAUUUACUCCAGACGUGAUAACGCCAAUGCAAUAAUAAAAUACCAUUUUCUAUUUUA